UAAGUACAAACUCAAUUCCAGAGGAACUUA
rnacentral:piRNA from 1 species